CAGGCUUAACACAUGCAAGUCGAGGGGCAGCAUUUUUCUAGCAAUAGAAGAGAUGGCGACCGGCGCACGGGUGAGUAACACGUAUCCAACCUACCGAUAACUCUGGAAUAGCCUUUCGAAAGAAAGAUUAAUACCGGAUAGUAUACGAAUAUCGCAUGAUAUUUUUAUUAAAGAAUUUCGGUUAUCGAUGGGGAUGCGUUCCAUUAGUUUGUUGGCGGGGUAACGGCCCACCAAGACUACGAUGGAUAGGGGUUCUGAGAGGAAGGUCCCCCACAUUGGAACUGAGACACGGUCCAAACUCCUACGGGAGGCAGCAGUGAGGAAUAUUGGUCAAUGGGCGCAGGCCUGAACCAGCCAAGCAGCGUGAAGGAUGAAGGCUCUAUGGGUCGUAAACUUCUUUUAUAUGGGAAUAAAGUUUUCCACGUGUGGAAUUUUGUAUGUACCAUAUGAAUAAGGAUCGGCUAACUCCGUGCCAGCAGCCGCGGUAAUACGGAGGAUCCGAGCGUUAUCCGGAUUUAUUGGGCUUAAAGGGAGCGUAGGUGGAUUGUUAAGUCAGUUGUGAAAGUUUGCGGCUCAACCGUAAAAUUGCAGUUGAAACUGGCAGUCUUGAGUACAGUAGAGGUGGGCGGAAUUCGUGGUGUAGCGGUGAAAUGCUUAGAUAUCACGAAGAACUCCGAUUGCGAAGGCAGCUCACUAGACUGUUACUGACACUGAUGCUCGAAAGUGUGGGUAUCAAACAGGAUUAGAUACCCUGGUAGUCCACACAGUAAACGAUGAAUACUCGCUGUUUGCGAUAUACAGUAAGCGGCCAAGCGAAAGCAUUAAGUAUUCCACCUGGGGAGUACGCCGGCAACGGUGAAACUCAAAGGAAUUGACGGGGGCCCGCACAAGCGGAGGAACAUGUGGUUUAAUUCGAUGAUACGCGAGGAACCUUACCCGGGCUUAAAUUGCAAUGAAUAUGUAGGAAACUAUAUAGCCGCAAGGCAUUUGUGAA
rnacentral:rRNA from 1 species